CCCACUCUCUAUAUAACUGAUCCUUUCGUCUACAAUGUAAGCACAUUUAUUGAGAACGGAAUUGGUUGGCUAAUAACAUAAAACCAAUAAUGAGUUCUCACACCAAAACCAUCUUGGUUCUCGUUGUUCUUGUCUUCACUUCCAUUCACGUUUCCUAUGCUGCCUCCGAGGAGAAGGUGAAUUAUCCGACGUCAAACAUGGGUGUGGAGGAGAAUGAAGUAGCAAGAGAGAGAAAGCUUUUGGAGGUGGAGUAUCAUCUCGACUACGCAAGAACAGGAGCCAAUCAAGACCAUGAACCAGGCAGAGGAAGACCUUAAUCAAGCUAAGUGUCCGAAAGAUAAUGAGUUUUAAAUUAAUGGUGUUGCAUUGUAUCAAUAAGCUAUAUAUACAUACAUAUACAGUAGCGGACCUAGAACAAAUUUUAAGUGGGGGCAAAAUUAAA